CCUACGGGUGGCAGCAGUGGGGGAUAUUGCACAAUGGGGGAAACCCUGAUGCAGCGACGCCGCGUGUGGGAAGACGGUCCUCUGGAUUGUAAACCACUGUCCCCAGGGACGAAGAUCACGGUACCUGGGGAGGAAGCUCCGGCUAACUACGUGCCAGCAGCUGCGGUAAUACGUAGGGAGCGAGCGUUGUCCGGAAUUACUGGGUGUAAAGGGAGCGUAGGCGGGUAUGCAAGUUAGGUGUCAAAACUACCGGCUCAACUGGUAGUCGCACUCAAAACUGGAGCUCUUGAGUGAAGUAGAGGCAGGCGGAAUGCCUAGUGUAGCGGUGAAAUGCGUAGAUAUUAGGAGGAACACCAGUGGCGAAGGCGGCCUGCUGGGCUUUUACUGACGCUGAGGCUCGAAAGUGUGGGGAGCAAACAGGACUAGAUACCCUUGUAGUC
rnacentral:rRNA from 1 species